rnacentral:lncRNA from 1 species
CUGUGACCAGGUUAGAGAGGGCAGCAAGUCUACCGCCCGGAGAAACCACUGGAAGUAGAGAAAACCAGAGGCAGGAAGCUCAGCUGGCUGAGGUGCUGUUGACCUCCCCAGACUCUUGGGGUCCUUCAGCCGUUUGCACAAGAUUAUCCUUGAAGCACACCAGCCAGGGGCUGUUGACAGGACACUUCUCCCAAAAACUCGUGAUGGUAGGCUUUGUCUUCUUCUCCUUCUCUUUCCUUCUCUUCCUUCUCUUCUUUCUUUUCC